UUUAUCAAGAGUGACGGAGGGAUCAGGCCCUAUGAUGUCCAGCAACCUGCUUUUGCAAGGUGCUAAAUCCUGCGGGCAAUACUGCCCGAAAGAUGAGG
rnacentral:ncRNA from 1 species